rnacentral:rRNA from 1 species
CGGCGGACGGGUGAGUAACACGUAAGGAACCUACCGAUAAGCGGGGGACAACAUCCGGAAACGGGUGCUAAUACCGCAUAGGAAGUUUGUUCGCAUUAACAAACUUAGAAAGAUGGCUCUGCUAUCACUUAUCGAUGGCCUUGCGGUGCAUUAACUAGUUGGCGAGGUAACGGCUCACCAAGGUGAUGAUGCAUAGCCGACCUGAGAGGGUAAUCGGCCACAUUGGGACUGAGACACGGCCCAAACUCCUACGGGAGGCAGCAGGG